rnacentral:rRNA from 2 species
GAUUUCUGGUUUGAUGCGUUUGGCCCUCUCGGAGCAAUCCGGCGUGCGUGCCGAUGCGCGUCUGCCAUCCCUUGUAGAGAACGUUUCUACCCUUCACUGGGCCGGAUUCGCAAUCUACAUCUUUUACUUUGAAAAAAUUAGAGUGUUUAAAGCAGGCUUGUGCUAUGAAUACAUUAGCAUGGAAUAAUAAUUUAGGACUUUGGUUCUAUUUUGUUGGUUUCUAGGACUGAAGUAAUGAUUGAUAGGGAUAGUUGGGGGUGCUAGUAUUCAGCGGCCAGAGGUGAAAUUCUUGGAUUCGCUGAAGACUAACUUAUGCGAAAGCAUU